rnacentral:rRNA from 1 species
UACGUAGGGUGCAAGCGUUGUCCGGAAUUAUUGGGCGUAAAGAGCUCGUAGGCGGUCUGUCGCGUCUGCUGUGAAAACUCAGGGCUUAACCCUGAGCUUGCAGUGGGUACAGGCAGACUAGAGUGCGGUAGGGGAGACUGGAAUUCCUGGUGUAGCGGUGAAAUGCGCAGAUAUCGGGAGGAACACCGGUGGCGAAGGCGGUUCUCUGGGCCUGUACUGACGCUGAGGAGCGAAAGCGUGGGGGAGCGAACAGG